AACCCUUAGGGGACAUCCGAUAAAAUUGGAACGAUACAGAGAAGAUUAGCAUGGCCCCUGCGCAAGGAUGACACGCAGUUCACAUUUUU
rnacentral:snRNA from 1 species